CGAGCGAGAAGACGUAGCAAUACGUUUGUAAAGCGGCGAACGGGUGAGGAAUACAUGGGUAACCUACCCUCGAGUGGGGAAUAACUAGCCGAAAGGUUAGCUAAUACCGCAUACGAUUCCCGGACUUCGGUUUGGGAAAGAAAGCGAUACCGUGGGUAUCGCGCUCUUGGAUGGGCUCAUGUCCUAUCAGCUUGUUGGUGAGGUAAUGGCUCACCAAGGCUUCGACGGGUAGCUGGUCUGAGAGGACGAUCAGCCACACUGGCACUGCGACACGGGCCAGACUCCUACGGGAGGCAGCAGUAAGGAAUAUUGCGCAAUGGGCGACAGCCUGACGCAGCGACGCCGCGUGGGGGAUGAAGGUCUUCGGAUUGUAAACCCCUUUCGGGAGGGAAGAUGGGACGGGCAACCGUUCGGACGGUACCUCCAGAAGCAGCCACGGCUAACUUCGUGCCAGCAGCCGCGGUAAUACGAAGGUGGCAAGCGUUGUUCGGAUUCACUGGGCGUACAGGGAGCGUAGGCGGUUGGGUAAGCCCUCCGUGAAAUCUCCGGGCCUAACCCGGAAAGUGCAGAGGGGACUGCUCGGCUAGAGGAUGGGAGAGGAGCGCGGAAUUCCCGGUGUAGCGGUGAAAUGCGUAGAGAUC
rnacentral:rRNA from 1 species